UACGUAGGGGGCAAGCGUUGUCCGGAAUCAUUGGGCGUAAAGAGCGUGUAGGCGGCCAGAUAAGUCCGCUGUGAAAUCUCGAGGCUCAACUUCGAGCUGUCGGUGGAAACUGUCUGGCUAGAGUCCGGAAGAGGAGAAUGGAAUUCCUGGUGUAGCGGUGAAAUGCGCAGAUAUCAGGAGGAACACCGGUGGCGAAGGCGGUUCUCUGGGCAUUACCUGACGCUGAGGAGCGAAAGCAUGGGGAGCGAACAGG
rnacentral:rRNA from 1 species